UGGGGAAUAUUGCACAAUGGGCGGAAGCCUGAUGCAGCGACGCCGCGUGGGGGAUGAAGGCCUUCGGGUUGUAAACUCCUUUCGACAGGGACGAAGCUUUUGUGACAGUACCUGUAUAAGAAGCACCGGCUAACUACGUGCCAGCAGCCGCGGUAAUACGUAGGGUGCGAGCGUUGUCCGGAAUUACUGGGCGUAAAGAGCUCGUAGGUGGUUUGUCGCGUCGUCUGUGAAAUUCCGGGGCUUAACUCCGGGCGUGCAGGCGAUACGGGCUGACUUGAGUGCUGUAGGGGAGGCUGGAAUUCCUGGUGUAGCGGUGAAAUGCGCAGAUAUCAGGAGGAACACCGAUGGCGAAGGCAGGUCUCUGGGCAGUAACUGACGCUGAGGAGCGAAAGCAUGGGUAGCGAACAGGAUUAGAUACCCUGGUAGUCCAUGCCGUAAACGGUGGGCGCUAGGUGUAGGGGGCUUCCACGUCUUCUGUGCCGUAGCUAACGCAUUAAGCGCCCCGCCUGGGGAGUACGGCCGCAAGGCUA
rnacentral:rRNA from 1 species